rnacentral:lncRNA from 1 species
AUUCCCCACCCCCCAACAUGGCUGCACUGAAGCGUGAGCCUCAGCCUCAGUGUUUGUAGGGAAUGAUCAUAUUUUAACCCUAGCAGGGUGCCACUGCACCUUGACUCCAAACUUGAGGUGUUCCAGAGGGUCCUUGAGCGCUGCCAUUCGAGAGGCUACCAUUUAGGUCCAUGGCUUUCUCCGUGCACAGGAAAGGGCACUCUGUGAGGUUCUACAAGGUGACUCUCUGCCUAGCUUUACCGGCACCAGGCAAUGGUUCUGACCUCACUCUCGGGCCUUUGGUGUGGGGAAAGAGCCUGCAGCCAGGACAGCUACUGCUUGAGGUCACUAAGAUGAGAAAAUGGAGGCCUGGAGAACUGAAGAGCCUGUCCAAGACCAGCUAAUGAUCAAGGCACAGAGUGAGAGUGCUUCCUUCCCCUUGGCCCCUCACCUUCCCCUUUGGAAUGCUCACAGCCACCGAGAUCUGCUUCCCACCGUACAGGAGGCUCUCCUCUUCCUGGCCACCCUGAAGGUCCAACUCCCUUCAGAAUGCUCUGGUGACAUUAAAACUCAGAUGUCCUUCGGAACAGAGACCUGCAUGAAUCCUGUACUCGCCGGUGCUGAGGUGGGGGUGGGGAAUGGGGCUGGGGCAUGACCUCAAAGACUACCACACAGCCCCCAGAAGUGGCUUCACUACAGCACCCAGCCU